rnacentral:misc_RNA from 4 species
CCGAGUGAGGGCCCUCUGGGUCCAACCUCCCACCCGUGUUUAUUUUACCUUGUUGCUUCGGCGGGCCCGCCUUAACUGGCCGCCGGGGGGCUCACGCCCCCGGGCCCGCGCCCGCCGAAGACACCCUCGAACUCUGUCUGAAGAUUGUAGUCUGAGUGAAAAUAUAAAUUAUUUA